AAUUAGGGCGCUAAUUCCAACUCGGAAGAGUUACAUUGAAACAAAAUAAAAACUCAAUGGUUUUUAUUUGAUUGGAACAUAGAAAGACGGGUCAAUUAUAUCAAUUUUCCAAAAUUGACCUGUCCUUUCCACUUUACAACGCACCAUUAGUAGGAUAUUUUUGUUAUUACUUGGAAGAGAAAGACCUAUUUUUGAAAACUGCUUACUUCUUUUCAUCUUCAAAAAGUCUUGUGAUCAUAGAAACUCAAGAACUUGAUAGAACUCAAGCUGAUGAAAUUUGCAACAAAGGAAAGUGAAGAAAAUUUUCCAAAAUGGGUUUUCUCAGAUAUACACCUCACUUUAUCGAUUUCCUUGCUUGGCCGGUAAUUGCUCUGGUCUAUCCUCUUGGCGGAGCCAAGAAUUUGAAGGGAUUAAAAAAAAAAAAAGUAAAAGUGUCCCAUCUAAGAUUUUAUCCUAUGUCGAGCUCGAGGGGAUUCAACAAUUUAUAUAUAUCAGAAAAGUUGUAUUAUCCUUUUAUCUUAGUGUAAUAUUUAGGCGGAGGGAAUUCAAUUGAGGCCCCUUCACUAAUGGUAUCUACGCCCCUGGCUAAGUGCAUCCUAAGGCAUAACAAUGUUUCAAAUUAUUGAAUGCUUUCAUUUCCAAAUUUGGUUGUACUGGUGUAGCAUUUUUGCUUGUUACUGGUAACUUUUACCAAUUCUUUUGUGGGACCGCAGAUGUGCAUCAAUACGAGUGAUUGAGGCUGGCUCCAAGUAUCACAUGAGGAAGCUAGUCACAUAUUGGACCAUCUUAUCCUUUAUUUCUCUGUUUAAGCACGUCUUUGAGAAACUUAUUGAAUGGUAAUGUGCUGUACUCUUAGUUGGCUACAUUAAAAGGGCCAAAAAUUUGUGACCUUUAUUUUACGUGUAUUCCUUUCAUAAUCCUCUUUAAAUCAUAUGGAAAUAGGAGCUCUUUGAAUUAUUGACACUUGUUAAUUAGAUUAACUUCCAGUAAGAUCAUUUGGCAAAUUUUUUCUGUCUUGAAGAAAAUAAGGGGCAAACUCGAAGACAUUAAUGGUGAAUGAGCUUAUGAUAUCCUCUAUUGGUGGCCUUACCUUGUAGGCAGUUAGCUACUUGAUACUAAACCCAACAGAACAAAUAUAUGCUUCAUAUGCAAAUUCUUGUGCUUGUACUCACUCAUGUACUUACACUUUGUUUCUGGAUCCAUACCCUUAUAUUGACUCAUUGAAUUGUGACACAAUCUUUUUCAAGUGAACCUCAAAGUCAAAUAAUGCACUUCUUUCAGUUACUCGUCUAUGUUGGUAAUUAUAUGUCUGUUCUUGCUUGUGUUUAUUCCCUUGGUGUUAAGCUGAGAAUUUCCAGAGCUAGUUUGCUGAAGCAUCUCGAGAAAAUUUGUGCAAUAUGACAUGAGAAACUAUUCCUGUUGCAUAUACUAAUAUCUUUUCAUUUUACUUUGGCAGGGUUCCUCUGUGGCCAUAUAUAAAAUUAAUAACCAUAUGUUGGUUGGUGAUACCGCAGUUUAACAGUGCGUGCUAUCUUUCUCAAAACCUUAUUCGUCCAUGUUUUCCGCUUAAACUGCACGAUUGUAUCAGGCAGUUUAAUG